ACCAAGGAUGGUAUUUUUUAUAGUAUUAUUUUAGUCACAAAAAAAGCAGGUUGUUCCAUGGUAAAAUAUAGAUUGCCUGAUUAAUUGCCAUGUGCGUGUCAUUGGUUGUUUCGAUCUGACCAGAUGUAGCGAAAAUGGUAAAACUUAUGAGAAGGACCGAUCGCCAUCAUUUGAUAGAUAGGAGGAGCAAUAUCGUACGCGAAAGAGAAGCACAACUUUGGCCUAAAAGUUAUUUCACUUUAGCUGUUAUGGUGGUAGGUUGCUUAGCGCCCACUGUACAGCCUUAUGAUUUGAGAAAAGGUUUUGUUUUGUUUGGCAACUUUUUCGACAAGGGGCCAAGUUGUCUCCAAUCAUGUUUCCCAGUAAACCGAGGAAGGACGAUUCAUUCCUCGCCGGACGAUGAAUCAAGCAGAUUCUGCAGGGUGGAUGUUACGUCCUGCCAAUGCGUUGGCAAGGAAUGCCCAUGAUGCUGGUUUGCCCCCAACCGACACCAACAGCUGUCAAAGCUACCCCAACCACUACAGCCCCCGCCGCUACAACCCCCUCCACACCUUCUACAACUCAGACGACACCGAAACCCGCAGCCUUGCCCUUUCAAUUCUACCAGUGGAAUCCUCUGUUGAUGCCUCCCUUCAACAAUAAUCCCAAUGGGCAACCAGUAGUCUAUCCUCCACCUUAUAGGAACCCCUAGCAGAUCAGCCUACUACACUGUUGCAUACAGCGGUGCCUGUGAGAAGACACGCCCAUGACUACAACGCCCCUUACAGCAAUGCCUGCACCAGCUAUGAAGUAUUGUCCAAUGUAAGAGUUUCAGGAGUAUCCCCAAUAUUAUGCAUCUCAGGGCUAUACCCCUAUAUUCCAAUUCCAUACUUUCAUCAACAGAAUGGUCCAUCUGCCCUUCAGGUUAUCCUUUCCUGCUUUUCCAGGCUAAUGCUUUUAAAUGAGUCGAUCAAUAAAAUGAAUGCAAGCACUCAAA